rnacentral:rRNA from 1 species
GGUCUCAGGUCCUAACGGUUAUAAGACUUCGGUCGCUUUAGGAUCGGCCCGCCCGACCGAUUAGCUUGUUGGUGAGGUAAUGGCUCACCAAGCGCAUCGAUCGGUAGCUGGUCUGAGAGCGAUGGUCAGCCACACUGGGACUGAGAUACGGCCCAGACUCCUACGGGGGGCAGCAGUCUAAGAGGCUUCGUGCAAUGGGGGAAGCCCUGACCGAGCGACCCGCCUGGCGUGCGGGAUUGAAGGCCUUCGGGAUCGUAAACCGCUGUCAGGACCGGAAGAAUGCCCUGGUGGUGAAUCAGGGAGAGACGGUACCUCCAGAGGAAGCCCGCGGCUAACUAUACGUGCCAGCAGCCUUGCGGUAAUACGUAGGGGGCAAGCGUUGUUCGAAUUUACUGGGCGUAAAGGGUGUGGUAGGCAGCCGCGCAAGUCUGGUGUGAAAUCCCCACCGCUUAACGUGGGAGAGUGCACUGGAAACUGCGUGGCUUGAGUAUGGAAGAGGCGAGCGGAAUUCCUGGUGUAACGGUGGAAUGUGUAGAUAUCAGGAAGAACACCGGUGGCGAAGGCGGCUCGACUGGGCCCAUUACUGACGCUGAAACACGAAAGCGUGGGAGAGCGAACGGGAUUAAGAUACAAGCCACGGUAGUCGCACGCUGUAUAACGGUGCGCACUAGCCGUGUGGGGGGUAUCGACCCCUUCCGUGCCGAAGUCAACACAUUAAGAAUGCGCCGCCUUAGGGGAGUACCGGCGGACCGCAAGCAA